rnacentral:rRNA from 1 species
AUGGUCUCUUGCGGUCGUACUGCCGUGAACAUCAAUGGGGAGAUCGGGCCCUACUUCCCCACCUCCUGUGGGGUAAGGCAAGGUGAUCCCUUCUCCCCCUUCUUGUUCAAUAUGGUGGUGGACGCGCUUGCCGCCAUUCUAGAUAAGGCUAAGGCUGCUGGCCAUAUUCAGGGAAUCACUCCCCACCUGGAUGGCAGCUCCAGGAUCUCCCUCCUCCAGUAUGCCGACGACACCAUUAUCAUGGUCAAAGGCUCGGAGUCGGAUGUCGCCAACCUUAAGUUCCUCCUCCUCUGCUUCCAACAAAUGUCUGGCCUUAAGAUAAACUUCGACAAGAGUGAUGUGAUGGUGAUGGGCUACUCUCCGGCCGAGUCGCUUGCCAUUGCCAACCGGCUCAACUGCCGCCUCGGCGCCUUUCCCACAACAUACCUGGGAACACCCAUUAGCGACUCUCGGCUUACCAUCGCGGACCUGCGCCCGACCGUAACCAAACACCAAACGCGCAUCGAACCCUGGAAGGGUAGAUGGCUGUCAAAGGUGGCUCGUACCAUUCUCAUUAACUCAUCCCUCUCCAGCCUCCUCCUGUUCCUUAUGAGCUUCUACAGCCUCCACGAGACCCUGCACCAUGAGAUUGCCAAAAUUCAGUCCCGCUUCUACUGGGCCGACGAUCAUAAUAAACAGAAAUACCACAUGGUGAGCUGGCCUGGCAUCUGGAAGCCUAGGGAUCAAGGAGGCAUCGGGAUCAUGUGCUCCAAACGCAUGAAUAUCACCCUCCUUUCCCGUUGGCUCUGGCGGAUUUCGCAGGGCCAGGGGGGGUCUCUGGCUUGA